rnacentral:rRNA from 1 species
CCGCUGAGGAAGGUAAAAAUCGUAACAAGGUUUCCGUAGGUGAACCUGCGGAAGGAUCAUUACAGAGUUCAUGCCCGAAAGGGUAGACCUCCCACCCUUGUGUAUUAUUACUUUGUUGCUUUGGCGAGCUGGCUUCGGGCCUUGUAUGCUCGCCAGAGGAUAAUUAAACUCUUUUUAUUAAUGUCGUCUGAGUACUAUAUAAUAGUUAAAACUUUCAACAACGGAUCUCUUGGUUCUGGCAUCGAUGAAGAACGCAGCGAAAUGCGAUAAGUAAUGUGAAUUGCAGAAUUCAGUGAAUCAUCGAAUCUUUGAACGCACAUUGCGCCCCUUGGUAUUCCGGGGGGCAUGCCUGUUCGAGCGUCAUUUCAACCCUCAAGCACAGCUUGGUAUUGAGUCUAUGUCAGUAAUGGCAGGCUCUAAAAUCAGUUGCGGGCGCUGGGUCCUGAACGUAGUAAUAUCUCUCGUUACAGGUUCUCAGUGUCUUCUGCCAAAACCCAAAUUUUCUAUGGUUGACCUCGGAUCAGGUACGGGACCCCCCG